GACGAACGCUGGCGGCGUGCUUAACACAUGCAAGUCGAACGAAGUGGCGAACGGGUGAGUAAUACGUGAGUAACCUGCCCUCCUUUUUGGGAUAAGCCUUGGAAACGGGGUCUAAUACCGAAUAAAGGGGGUUGGGCUCGCGGCCUAUCAGCUUGUUGGUGGGGUUAUGGCCUACCAAGGCGGUGACGGGUAGCCGGCCUGAGAGGGUGACAGGGGAAAUGGGGACUGGGAUACGGCCCAGAAGGCGACGGGAGGGGGGAGUGGUGGAUAUUGGACAAUGGGCGAAUGCAUGAUGCAGGGACGUCGCGUGGGGGAUGAAGGCUUUCGGGUUGUAAACCUCUUGCGCGAUCGAAAGGGUAGGUGGAGAAGAAGCGCCGGCUAACUACGUGCCAGCAGCCGCGGUAAUAC
rnacentral:rRNA from 1 species